CCUACGGGGGGCUGCAGUGGGGAAUAUUGGACAAUGGGCGAAAGCCUGAUCCAGCCAUGCCGCGUGUGUGAAGAAGGCCUUCGGGUUGUAAAGCACUUUCAGUGGGGAAGAAAGCCUUGGGGCUAAUACCCUCGAGGAAGGACAUCACCCACAGAAGAAGCACCGGCUAACUCCGUGCCAGCAGCCGCGGUAAUACGGAGGGUGCGAGCAUUAAUCGGAAUUACUGGGCGUAAAGCGCGCGUAGGCGGUCUGAUAAGCCGGUUGUGAAAGCCCCGGGCUCAACCUGGGAACGGCAUCCGGAACUGUCAGGCUAGAGUGCAGGAGAGGAAGGUAGAAUUCCCGGUGUAGCGGUGAAAUGCGUAGAGAUCGGGAGGAAUACCAGUGGCGAAGGCGGCCUUCUGGACUGACACUGACGCUGAGGUGCGAAAGCGUGGGUAGCAAACAGGAUUAGAUACCCGUGUAGUC
rnacentral:rRNA from 1 species